rnacentral:misc_RNA from 1 species
UCGAUAUUAUAUACUCGAGAUUUAUCGAAUGUCGAGUACCUUCGAGAAGAGCAGAGAAAAGCGAGCACAUGUGAGCACACAGCUAACCUAAAAUAAAUCGAAUAAGAGAAAUUGAAUGGUCCAUGUGAAUUAAUUAUUAUAUUUUAUAAUUAACUGAAUUUGACAUGGUUUUAUCUUAUUUACAACAUUAAAUUUGAAAUAUAGAAUUGAGAGAAAUCCUUGAAUUGGGGUAUUUCUCAUACAAGAUGGGUAAAUCAUCUUAUGGACAAAGAAAUGAUAAAGAGAAAAAGCUAUCUUGGGUGUAUCGACAGAAGGCAAAAUUGCGGAGGGCUGAAAAUCGAAAAACGUACACGAAUGAUACUUCCGAUGCAAAUGGUCAAAAUUCUCGAAUAUUUGUGAAGAAUUUACCUUUUAAGAUAACAGAGGAGGAUGUGAGAAGAUUUUAUGAGCCAUUUGGUGAAAUCAGAGAAAUAAGUCUUCCAAAGCGGUCAGAUGGAAGUCCAGUUGGAUGCGGUUUUGUAGGUUUUAAACGAACGGAGGAUGCAUCAAAAGCAAUUUUUAAUACAAAUAAAAAGGAGUUUUUUGGAAGGAUUAUACACAGUGAUUGGGCUUUAUCAAAAUCCAAAUUUUGUGCAAAAAUUGAAAAAGAAUCUACUAGAAAUGAAGAAAUUAAUGAAGAAAUUAAUGAAGAUGACACUCAAUAUCAAGAUGAUGAAGAAAAAGAUAAUGAUGAUAGUAAUCAGAAAAAGAUUAAAAAAGAAAAGAAUAAUUUGAAAAAGCAAAAGAGGAGAAAGUUUCAAAAAUUGAAAAAACAGAAAAAACGAGCCAGAAUUGUAAUACGAAAUUUAGCUUUUGAGGCUACAGAAGAUAAUUUGAGGGAACAUUUUUCUCAAUAUGGUGAAAUACAAGAAGUAAAAAUUUUAACUAGACCAGAUGGCAAACAGGCUAGAGUUGCGUUUGUGCAGUUUGAUUUAGUUCAAAGUGCUGCAAAAGCUGUACAUUACGCAAAUAUGCAACCUCUUUUGAACAGACCUAUAAUAGUCGAUUGGGCUGUUGCCAAAACAAAAUUCUCCCAAACCAGUACAGAUGUGAAACCUGAAAUUGAAACUAAAAUUGAUGAAAAUGAAGCACACGAUGCUUCAGAAAUACAAGUAUUCGAUGUCAGUAAGGAUGAAGCUGAACCAAACAGGAACAACGUUACAAUAGACAGUACAAAAACGGAGGAUGAAUCUGAUGAAGAGGAAGAAAUAAAACAUGGAAUGGAAGAUAUUGAGGAUGAAGAUGAAGAUGAUAAGGAUGACAAUGAUGAUAAUGAUGACGACGACGACGACGACGACGACGACGAUGAUGAUGAUGGCAUUAAUGUUGUCAUUGAUCAGUCUGUUAUUAAAGAGGAAAAGGGAGAGAAUCCUUCCGUUGCAAAAAGUCCGUCACGAAUAUCUAAUGACGUUAGUGAAGGAAAGACGAUUUUUUUGAAAAAUGUACCAUUUUCUGUGAAGAACGAUGAACUUAAAAAGUAUAUCGAACAAUUUGGGCCUGUUUACUAUGCUCUUGUAUGCAUGGAUUCUCUAACCGAAUAUUCCAAAGGCACUGCGUUUGUUAAAUUUAGGCAAGUCGAAGAUGCUGAAAAGUGUUUGUCAGCUGAAUUGCAUUUGCGUGACCAAAUAAUCGAGGCGCACAGAGCAUUACACAGGAACGAAGUUGAAAAUAAAAAAAGCUUGAAGCAGCAGAGAGCUAAGGAUUCCAGGAAUUUAUAUCUUGUUAAGGAAGGAGUUGUGUUAGCCAAAAGUGCAGCUGCGGCGGACGUAUCAGUGUCUGAUAUGGACAAACGAUUGAAAUUGGAGCGGUGGAAAUCACAAAUGUUGCGUAAUUUAAAUAUGUUUAUAUCGAGAGUGCGCCUCGUUGUGCAUAAUUUACCUCCCAAUCUUAACGAUACGACCCUCAGACAAUUGUUUAAAAAGCAUAGCGGUUCUAAAGCUAUAAUUAAGGAGGCACGAGUUAUGCGCGAUUUGAAAAAUGUCGAUGCAACUGGAAAUGGAAAAUCAAAGGAGUAUGGUUUUGUUACAUUUACCACUCAUGAUGAUGCGCUUAAAGCUUUGAGAAAUAUAAAUAACAACCCAAAUAUAUUCUCCAAAAGCAGAAGACCUAUAGUUGGAUUCUCGAUAGAAAACCGCAUUAUAGUAAAUGCGAAGGAAAGAAGAGUUCAGAAAAGUCGCAACAACAAUCCUUUAUGGUUGGAAAAUAAAUAUAAAAGGAAAAGUGAGGAAACCAAGGAAGAAGGUCCAGCCAAACGAGCAAGAAAAUCGAACGAUUCGGAGGAGAAACCAUAUGCCGGUAUUGUUGCUAAAACCGGACAUGAUAAUUUAAGAUCGAACUUCAAACUGAAGUCACAAGCUGCACUACAUACGCAGACAGUGAAAAAACAGAGGAAAUUAAAUAAAGCUAAGAAGCAAUUGAAAAUUAUGAAGCAGGAGAAGACGAAGAACAAGCGAGAUAAUAUGCCGGUGAAGCAAAAAAAGAAAGUUAAUGCAGCUGACACGAGCUUUAAUAAGCUUGUAAAUAAUUAUAAGAGCAAAUUGAAAGAUUUUGAUUUGAAGAUAUCGAAAUGGUACGAAUAAAUCUUGACGUGCGUAUAAGUGAAAGAAUUGUGGUAAUCAUAUUUAAGGAUUUGUAACACUUGCUGUAUUUAAGGAUUUUGUUUAACAACAACAUGGAAAUACGUGUAUCUUACCUUUUCUCCUUAAUAUUGUGACUUGUCUACCAUAAAUUUCCCCUUCUCGAAGUCGCGUUUACCCUCCCACUCGCCUGGUCUUCUCCUUCAAAUAUCUUUGAAUAUCACUUUAGCGCGAAGUGCUAAGCGACAGAGUCUCAGUCUAUAUGUUUUUUUCCCGUGUGCGACGUAUUCUA